ACCUAGGAUAUGUUUUGUUUGGAUAAUAACAGACUACAAAACUGUUAGAUAAAGUGCACAAAAUGAUAAAAUACUACCAGAACUAGCAAAAAAAAAUAUAUUACAAAUUGAAUAUUGUUUACGUAUCUGUCUCUGUAAUCAAAUAUUACAAUGAAAUAGAAUUUUAACGUUUAGACUUGUUUUGACGGAACAAUCAAAAUAUCUCAGAAUAUUUAUACAGACAAAAAAGAACUGAUACUGGGGAUGGGAGCGGUCAGUUUUAGGUGAGAAGUUGGGAAAGUAGGAUACAUAAGGUUAUUUGAUUUAUAUCUGUAAACAACGAUAAACCAUUGAUUGACGAAAAACGAUUUCGAACAGUUUGGAAACACAUAAUUUGAAGUGCCGUAAUUUUUUUUGCGAUUUUCGUUUAAAUUUGAUUUCAAAACGCUUAUCAAAAAAAAGUCGUCGGAUGAUUUUUAAAAUUUUAC